CAGUCACUACCACACCUUCGGUGGCUUUUUAUAGCUUCACCAAGGUGUGCUAGUGAUGACA
rnacentral:pre_miRNA from 1 species